rnacentral:rRNA from 1 species
UACGUAGGGGGGCUAGCGUUGUCCGGAAUCAUUGGGCGUAAAGAGCGUGUAGGCGGCCCGGUAAGUCCGCUGUGAAAGUCGGGGGCUCAACCCUCGAAUGCCGGUGGAUACUGUCGGGCUAGAGUGCGGAAGAGGCGAGUGGAAUCCUGGUGUAGCGGUGAAAUGCGCAGAUAUCAGGAGGAACACCGAUUGCGAAGGCAGCUCGCUGGGACGUCACUGACGCUGAGACGCGAAAGCGUGGGGAGCAAACAGG